rnacentral:rRNA from 1 species
AUGUUGAUUGAGGAAGCAUCGUACAACUGCAGUGCAAGUACACAAUUAGCUGUAGCUGCUGGGGAAGUUUAUAGGCAUUGGGGGGAGUUAGCCGUGAGACUUGAAGCACAAGACAAAGCAUUUGAAGAGAUGCAAAGGAAGCAUCAAGAAGAAUUGGAAGCUGUGAAGAAGAGCCAACAAAAGAAGAAUGAAGCCUGGGAAAAGAAGCAACACGAUACAGAUAACCUGAUUGGUUUUCUCUUAAGGGCUCAAGCAACUCAGCAAGAAUCCAUUUUCUUGUCUAUUGACGUGUCAAACUUGAGUCGGUGUUAUUUUGAUUGUCAUUUCUAA